rnacentral:rRNA from 1 species
GACGGACGCUGGCGGCGUGCCUAAUACAUGCCAGUUGAGCGCUGAAGGUUGGUACUUGUACCAACUGGAUGAGCAGCGAACGGGUGAGUAACGCGUGGGGAAUCUGCCUUUGAGCGGGGGACAACAUUUGGAAACGAAUGCUAAUACCGCAUAAAAACUUUAAACACAAGUUUUAAGUUUGAAAGAUGCAAUUGCAUCACUCAAAGAUGAUCCCGCGUUGUAUUAGCUAGUUGGUGAGGUAAAGGCUCACCAAGGCGAUGAUACAUAGCCCACCUGAGAGGGUGAUCGGCCACAUUGGGACUGAGACACGGCCCAAACUCCUACGGGAGGCAGCAGUAGGGAAUCUUCGGCAAUGGACGAAAGUCUGACCGAGCAACGCCGCGUGAGUGAAGAAGGGUUUCGGAUCGUAAAACUCUGUUGGUAGAGAAGAACGUUGGUGAGAGUGGAAAGCUCAUCAAGUGACGGUAACUACCCAGAAAGGGACGGCUAACUACGUG